rnacentral:rRNA from 1 species
GACGGAGGGUGCAAGCGUUGUUCGGAAUUACUGGGCGUAAAGGGCGCGUAGGCGGUCUGUUAAGUUCGGUGUGAAAGCCCCCGGCUCACCUGGGGAACUGCGCCGGAAACCGACAGACUCGAGUACCGGAGAGGAGGGUGGAAUUCCUGGUGUAGCGGUGAAAUGCGUAGAUAUCAGGAGGAACACCGGUGGCGAAGGCGGCCCUCUGGACCGCCACUGACGCUGAGACACGAAAGCGUGGGUAGCAAACAGG